rnacentral:rRNA from 1 species
UGGAUCCAGACUUUGAUCAUGGCUCAGGAUGAACGCUAGCGACAGGCUUAACACAUGCAAGUCGAGGGGCAGCGGGGAAGUAGCAAUACUUCCGCCGGCGACCGGCGCACGGGUGAGUAACACGUAUGCAACCUGCCCUUGUCAGGGGGAUAAUCGGAAGAAAUUCCGUCUAAUACCGCAUAACGCCCCUGGGAGACAUCUCCAGGGGGCCAAAGAUUUAUCGGACAAGGAUGGGCAUGCGGCGCAUUAGUUAGUUGGCGGGGUAACGGCCCACCAAGACGACGAUGCGUAGGGGUUCUGAGAGGAAGGUCCCCCACACUGGUACUGAGACACGGACCAGACUCCUACGGGAGGCAGCAGUGAGGAAUAUUGGUCAAUGGCCGAGAGGCUGAACCAGCCAAGUCGCGUGAGGGAAGACGGUCCUAUGGAUUGUAAACCUCUUUUGCCGGGGAGCAAAAUCGUCCACGCGCUGGACGUUCGAGAGUACCCGGAGAAAAAGCAUCAGCUAACUCCGUGCCAGCAGCCGCGGUAAUACGGAGGAUGCGAGCGUUAUCCGGAUUUAUUGGGUUUAAAGGGUGCGUAGGCGGACUGUUAAGUCAGCGGUAAAAUCGAGAGGCUCAACCUCUUCCCGCCGUUGAAACUGGCAGCCUUGAGUGGGCGAGAAGUAUGCGGAAUGCGUGGUGUAGCGGUGAAAUGCAUAGAUAUCACGCAGAACUCCGAUUGCGAAGGCAGCAUACCGGCGCCCAACUGACGCUGAAGCACGAAAGCGUGGGUAUCGAACAGGAUUAGAUACCCUGGUAGUCCACGCAGUAAACGAUGAAUGCUAAUUGUCCGGGCCGAAAGAGGCCUGGGUGAUAAAGCGAAAGCGUUAAGCAUUCCACCUGGGGAGUACGCCGGCAACGGUGCAACUCAAAUGAAUUGACGGA